ensembl:ncRNA C10H11.11 ncRNA
AUAUUUGAAUUUGGCGCUCUCGGUGGCUUGGCUGCUACGCAACAUGUCGUCCGGUCUGUUCGCUCUCAUGAGUGGAGCGGUGUCAGCAAUAGGCAACCAACAAUCGACAUCUCUCAUCCAUUACUCUCUCCCCAACUACGC